rnacentral:rRNA from 1 species
UACGUAGGGUGCGAGCGUUGUCCGGAAUUAUUGGGCGUAAAAGAGCUUGUAGGCGGUUUGUCGCGUCUGCUGUGAAAUCUCAAGGCUCAACCUUGAGCUUGCAGUGGGUACGGGCAGACUAGAGUGUGGUAGGGGAGACUGGAAUUCCUGGUGUAGCGGUGAAAUGCGCAGAUAUCAGGAGGAACACCGAUGGCGAAGGCAGGUCUCUGGGCCACUACUGACGCUGGAGAACGCGAAAGCGUGGGGAGCAAACAGG